rnacentral:lncRNA from 1 species
UGCCGCGCUCGUACAGCGCCGACAUCCCCGAGGGCCGGCGGGCCACCGCAGAGCCGUCCCCUGUCAGCGAGCUGCGGGCUCGGUUUGGCACUUAGUCAUGGGCCCUAUUUCCCAAAAGCGCAGCAGCACCGUCUCUCCCAUUGGUCCAGUAGUGAGUUUUUAGGGAACCAACUGGAAAACCUUAUGUGGAUGUAUUGGAAUCUCAUCCUUUCCACCCAUCUUUUCCACCAAUCUGGUGGGGUAACCUGGAUUGCCAGGGAGUUCUCCUGGAGGGUAGCAGCUGGUGAUUUGAACAACUGCAGUCUGAAGAGGGACAAAAACCUCCAACUUCUUGGAUACAGUCAUAAUGAGACUGAAUGA